rnacentral:rRNA from 1 species
AGUGAACGCUGGCGGCGUGCCUAACACAUGCAAGUCGAACGAUGAAGAGCAGCUUGCUGCUCGGAUUAGUGGCGCACGGGUGAGUAACGCAUAGGUAAUGUGCCCCUUAGUCUGGGAUAGCCACUGGAAACGGUGAUUAAUACUAGAUACUCCUUCUUACUAUAAGGUGAGUCGGGAAAGUUUUUCGCUAAGGGAUCAGCCUAUGUCCUAUCAGCUUGUUGGUGAGGUAACGGCUCACCAAGGCUAUGACGGGUAUCUGGUUUGAGAGGAUGAUCAGACACACUGGAACUGAGACACGGUCCAGACUCCUACGGGAGGCAGCAGUGAGGAAUAUUGCACAAUGGAGGAAACUCUGAUGCAGCAACGCCGCGUGGAGGAUGACGCAUUUCGGUGUGUAAACUCCUUUUAAGAGGGAAGAUUAUGACGGUACCUCUUGAAUAAGCACCGGCUAACUCCGUGCCAGCAGCCGCGGUAA